UGGGGAAUAUUGGGCAAUGGGGGAAACCCUGACCCAGCAACGCCGCGUGAAGGAAGAAGGUCUUCGGAUCGUAAACUUCUAUCCUCGGUGAAGAGGAGAAGACGGUAGCCGAGAAGGAAGCCCCGGCUAACUACGUGCCAGCAGCCGCGGUAAUACGUAGGGGGCAAGCGUUGUCCGGAAUGAUUGGGCGUAAAGGGCGUGUAGGCGGCUAAGUAAGUCUGGAGUGAAAGUCCUGCUUUUAAGGUGGGAAUUGCUUUGGAUACUGCAUAGCUAGAGUGCAGGAGAGGUAAGUGGAAUUCCCAGUGUAGCGGUGAAAUGCGUAGAGAUUGGGAGGAACACCAGUGGCGAAGGCGACUUACUGGACUGUAACUGACGCUGAGGCGCGAAAGUGUGGGGAGCAAACAGGAUUA
rnacentral:rRNA from 1 species